UUGCUUUGAUGGAUGGCGACCGGCGCACGGGUAAGUAACACGUAUCCAACCUGCCGACAACACUGGGAUAGCCUUUCGAAAGAAAGAUUAAUACCGGAUGGUAUAGUUUUCCCGCAUGGGAUGAUUAUUAAAGAAUUUCGGUUGUCGAUGGGGAUGCGUUCCAUUAGGCAGUUGGCGGGGUAACGGCCCACCAAACCUACGAUGGAUAGGGGUUCUGAGAGGAAGGUCCCCCACAUUGGAACUGAGACACGGUCCAAACUCCUACGGGAGGCAGCAGUGAGGAAUAUUGGUCAAUGGACGAGAGUCUGAACCAGCCAAGUAGCGUGAAGGAUGACUGCCCUAUGGGUUGUAAACUUCUUUUAUACGGGAAUAAAGUUAGCCACGUGUGGUUUUUUGUAUGUACCGUAUGAAUAAGGAUCGGCUAACUCCGUGCCAGCAGCCGCGGUAAUACGGAGGAUCCGAGCGUUAUCCGGAUUUAUUGGGUUUAAAGGGAGCGUAGGCGGGUUGUUAAGUCAGUUGUGAAAGUUUGCGGCUCAACCGUAAAAUUGCAGUUGAUACUGGCGACCUUGAGUGCAACAGAGGUAGGCGGAAUUCGUGGUGUAGCGGUGAAAUGCUUAGAUAUCACGAAGAACUCCGAUUGCGAAGGCAGC
rnacentral:rRNA from 1 species